ACAAACUUUUGGGUCACUUUGUAAAAACACAAAAGUCCACUACUUCAUAUAAUUACAACUAGAACCCAAAAUUUCAUCAAAAUACAAAAACUUCAUUAAAGGAGCAAAACAUUUUGUCCUUUAGUGUUUUUGGGCCUUUACGUAAAAAUGUAAAUUUUCGGGUCAAAGUACAAAUACACAAAAGUAUCAAAACUUUAUGUAAUUGCAUAAAAGCCCCAAAAGUACCAUAUUUAAUAGGGUGGCCGGUUUUGGAUGAGAGAAAGUGUCAUAAAACUUUUGAAUUUUUCAACAAAAGUGAAAGGUGAUGGGUAGUGAUUUCCAUAAAACAUGAUUCCUUGGAACAAGGAAAAGAUGUAAGUGAUUGGUAUGGUGUGAAUAGUAGAAAAGGUAUGGGUAUUGAUUGAAAAUUCAAACCAUCUAUCACUAACAAAAACUUUAUGUAAACAACCAAAAACUUUGAAUCAAAAUACCCAACCUUUUUGUUCUUACCAAAAACAUAACAAGAACAAUGAAGAACAUCCAUGAACAUUUUUCACCCAAAGACACCCAAAAAACUCUCAAACUUAAGGGAAAAAACAUAUUACCAUACUAGGGUAUUUAGGGGUUCCUAUUGUUACUUUAAAACACUUUUAACAAGACAAACAUGAACCCAAAAAACCACGCUUUGGAUUUGGCCGAAUUUCCCCAAAAACAUGGCACCAAAUUUUAGCUCCAAAAUUCAUGCUCAUAU
rnacentral:lncRNA from 1 species